UAGUAGCAGUAGUCAAAGGUACAAAUGUUGGCCCCUUUGAAAUUGACAUGCUGCCUUUUGUUUUUUAAGCACUUACUUAGGUUGUGGCAUUACAACAUGCUCCAGGCUCAUCUUGUAUUCCCUGCCCCAGCCCUAGAAUUGCAUUUUUCUAGGGAGCCCUGGCUCCUUUAUUAGAGAAUGGUAUUAGAAAUCAGUGUGUAU
rnacentral:lncRNA from 1 species